CACCGACGCCUCUCUCCCCUGUCGCUGUUUUUUUUUAAAGUGGCAGCUGGGGCUUCAGGAAAGCAUGGAAAUGGUGGCGGCUUCCUGACCAGCACCCGGUUUCCUGUCUGAAGAAAAACAAAAUGGGAAUGAACUCCCAUCAGAUUCAACAAGGCAGGUGUCAAGUCGAAGGAAACUCGACGCUGCGAGAAAAAUAAUCAUCAAUGGCCAGUUGGGCCAGUUCCCCAUGGGACACUGGGGAAUCAGGCCUUCAGGAGAAAGCGGCCAAAUAACAUUUUACUUUGUCGGUUGGGGAGUGAAAAAAAAACAUCCAUUGCGCCUUUUUAAAACAAAUCAAUCUUUCGUCAUCACACAUGGGAAGAUCGUUGCAAAUGUGCGGUUAUUUAUUUUAAUAGUUGCAUGGAUGUUUUACAAAGAAGCCUUUGGAAAGAAUAUCUUAAUUAAUAUUCCGGAAGGUGUUUACCGGAGUACUGCUGACUCCAUGACUCUUGGCUUUGUGGCUGCUGGUGUUUGACAGCACGUCCUGGGAAAUUGUUGACAAACGAUUUAACUGCUUAUUUACAAUUCAGGCAUGAUUCCUGUCAAAAUUCCAGAACUCGACCUUUCACCACUCCAUUCCCCGCACAUAAUUUUCAUUGAUCUGUUUGGCAUUUAUCAUUAUAGUCCUAUACCUUUUGCAAAUAAAAUGGGUUUUUUUCA